rnacentral:rRNA from 1 species
UACGUAGGGGGCUAGCGUUGCUCGGAAUUACUGGGCGUAAAGGGCGCGUAGGCGGAUAGUUCAGUUGGGGGUGAAAGCCCGGGGCUCAACCCCGGAAUUGCCUUUAAGACUGCAUCGCUUGAAUCCGGGAGAGGUGAGUGGAAUUCCGAGUGUAGAGGUGAAAUUCGUAGAUAUUCGGAAGAACACCAGUGGCGAAGGCGGCUCACUGGACCGGUAUUGACGCUGAGGUGCGAAAGCGUGGGGAGCAAACAGG